GUGGGGAAUAUUGGACAAUGGGGGGAACCCUGAUCCAGCCAUGCCGCGUGUGUGAAGAAGGCCUUUUGGUUGUAAAGCACUUUAAGCGAGGAGGAGGCUACCGAGAUUAAUACUCUUGGAUAGUGGACGUUACUCGCAGAAUAAGCACCGGCUAACUCUGUGCCAGCAGCCGCGGUAAUACAGAGGGUGCAAGCGUUAAUCGGAUUUACUGGGCGUAAAGCGCGCGUAGGUGGCCAAUUAAGUCAAAUGUGAAAUCCCCGAGCUUAACUUGGGAAUUGCAUGCGAUACUGGUUGGCUAGAGUAUGGGAGAGGAUGGUAGAAUUCCAGGUGUAGCGGUGAAAUGCGUAGAGAUCUGGAGGAAUACCGAUGGCGAAGGCAGCCAUCUGGCCUAAUACUGACACUGAGGUGCGAAAGCAUGGGGAGCAAACAGGAUUAGAAACCCUGGUAGUCC
rnacentral:rRNA from 1 species